GAAAUGCGAUAAGUAGUGUGAAUUGCAGAAUUCAGUGAAUCAUCGAAUCUUUGAACGCACAUUGCGCCCCUUGGUAUUCCAUGGGGCAUGCCUGUUCGAGCGUCAUUUGUACCCUCAAGCUCUGCUUGGUGUUGGGUGUUUGUCCCGUCUCCGCGCGUGGACUCGCCUCAAAGUGAUUGGCAGCCGGCGUACUGGUCCCGGAGCGCAGCACAUGUCGCGCAAACGAGUGCCUUGGUACGGCGGCGUCCAUAAGCCCCUCUCUCACGCUCUUGACCUCGGAUCAGGUAGGGAUACCCGCUGAACUUAAGC
rnacentral:misc_RNA from 1 species